UACGGAGGGUGCAAGCGUUAUCCGGAUUUACUGGGUUUAAAGGGUGCGUAGGCGGGCCUUUAAGUCAGUGGUGAAAGCUCCGAGCUUGAACUCGGAAACUGCCAUUGAUACUAUUGGUCUUGAAUUCGGUCGAGGUUGGCGGAAUGUGUCGUGUAGCGGUGAAAUGCUUAGAUAUGACACAGAACACCGAUUGCGAAGGCAGCUAGCUAGACCGACAUUGACGCUGAGGCACGAAAGCGUGGGGAUCAAACAGG
rnacentral:rRNA from 1 species